rnacentral:lncRNA from 1 species
UUCUAUUAUCAUUGUUCCGUUGAUAUAUCCAGCUAAAAUUAGGUUCCAUCUACGCAGUCAAUCAGAUUCAAUUAAUUAGAUCAAGUCACAAAAAUUUAACCAUUUUCAACCAACUAAGUCACCUAACAAACCACAAUCAAAAUUAAAAAAAAAAAUCCCUUAAAGUCCCUAGACUUAACCAUUUUCAACCAACUGAGUCACCUACCAAACCACAUUCAAAACAAAAAAAUCCCCCCUGUAAAGUCCCUACACUUAACCAUUUUCAACCAACUAAGUCACCUACCAAACCACAUUCAAAAUUAAAAAAAUCCCCUUUAAAGUCCCUAGACUUAACCAUUUUCAAGCAACUAAGUCACCUACC